AAAGCAAGCCGGGUGGUCGCUCAGGGAAUAUUUCCCUGGGAGGAAAGUCCGGGCUCCAUAGGGCAGGGAGCUGGCGAUAAGCCAGGUGGCCGUAAGGUCACGCAAGGGCCACAGAAAACAAACCGCCCUCCCUUUGGGAGGGUAAGGGUGAAACGGUGGGGUAAGAGCCCACCGCUCAGACUCGCGAGAGUCUGAGGCAGGGUAACCGCCUCCCGGAGCAAGGGCAAAAAGGGGGUUAGGGUUUGCCCGACCCGCUAAAAACCCCCGGGUAGCCCGCUUAGAUAAAUGACCACCUACUCCCUAUAUGGGAGGAAACAGAACCCGGCUUACGAGCUUGCUUUCCCC
rnacentral:RNase_P_RNA from 1 species